AUGAGGCCACCGGACAUGUAUGACCAUGGCGGCAGCUCGUCGUCCCGGCCGCGCGGCAAGGAGGAGCUGCAACCGGAGGUGGUUCUCUACACGGCGUCAGCUUCGGCGUCGCGCCGCCGAGGGCGCACCACCGCCGACCUCUACGCCUUGCGCGCCCUGCUGCGGGGCUACGGCCUGACCAUGGACGAGCGCGACGUGUCCACGAGCAAAGCGCACUGCUGCGAGCUCAAGUCGUUGCUUGCGGCUCGCGGCUGCGCCUUCUCCCUCCCGCAGCUCCUCAUCGGCGGCCGGCUCGUGGGCGGCCCUGACGAUGUUAGGCAGCUGCACCAGGCUGGCGGGCUGCGGCCUCUCGUCGACGGCGCCCCAAGGCCGCGCCGCGCCUUGGUCUGCCAAGCCUGUAAGAGGGUCGGCUCCGAGCCCUGUCCAAAGUGCAGCGAGUCCCGCAACAAGAUGCUGGAUCAUGGCAUUACGGAGGAGGAGGAGGAGAAGGUUGUCAUCUUUUAUCCAACCCAAGAUGUUUCAGUGGGAGGUAAAGGCAGAGAGAUGGAUGCGAGUUUCAGUGUUUCUCUGGGCGCCAUGAGACCCCUUCUUAAGAAGCUUGACAUGAUGCUAGGUCCUCAUGGAUGCAAGCUAACCAAGGGGGUCAAUGAUAGGUCUCAGCUCCUCAAAGAUGAUCUUAAAGAAAUAGCCACAUACCUUGAAGAUCUGUUUGAGGUGGAGGACCCUCCCCUGGCGGCCAAGUGCUGGAUGAAAGAGGCACAUGAGUUAUCUUAUGACAUCCUAGAUUGUAUUGACAACUUUGUGCCCCCUGAUCAGUCUCUUGGCUACAAAUUUGACCACAACAUCACUCAUGUUAAGAUUCCCAAGAGGCUCAAGUGGCAGAAACAAAUUCAAUAUGCAGCUCCUGAUGUGUCAGGACAUGUUAUCUCCAAAACCAUCCGUGUUGAUGUAAUUUGUGCUCCCAGGAGGCUCAAGUGGUACCAGCAGAUCGUUGAAAAGGUAUCAGAAUUUAGGAUUUAUGCCCAGGAGGUGGUUCGACGGUACGAUAGAUACCAGGUCCACUGUUGUAGCACCUCGGUGGCAAGUAGAUUUUCAGCCAUUGGGCCUAUGAUGCCAAUGCCGCCACCGCCUUGUGAGAAAACUUGUUCCGGCCUAGUAAUUGAUGGUCGGAUGAGCAAGUUUAUCAAUUCCCAGCUGGCUAAUGAUGAGAAUCGGCAGCUAAGGGUGGUGUCCAUUCACGGAUCUGGAUGUCUUGGUAAAACAAUGCUUGCCAAAGUGUUGUAUAAUAAGUUGGGGAGGCAAUUCCAUUGUCGGGCUUUCAUCCAGGUGUCCAAAAAGCCUGAUAUGAAAAGACUUUUCCGCGACAUGCUCUCACAAAUCCAGAGAAAGAAUCCCCAAGCAAGCCAAGACGCUUCUGAUGAACUUCACAUUACUGCUGAAAAUAUCAAGAAUUAUCUACAUGGCAAGAGGUAUCUUAUUGUUGUGGAUGAUUUAUGGGAUACAGCAACAUGGGAUAUUAUUAAUCAGCUUUUCCCCAAGUUUAGUCAAGGAAGCAGAAUAAUAACAACUACACAGAUCGAAGAUGUUGCAUUAGCAUGUUGCUGCGAUGACCCAGAGCAAGUUUUCGAGAUGAAACCUUUGGAUGAUGAUCACUCAAGGAAGCUAUUCUUUGACAGGAUUUUUGGUUCUGAAAGUAACUGUCCUGAAGAACUGAAACAAGUUUCAAGCCAGAUUGUAGAAAUAUGUGGUGGUUUGCCGCUAGCCACCAUCAGCAUAGCAAGUCUUUUAGCAAACCAGCCUUCUGUAUCAGUGGGUUUAUUGACACACAUACAUGAUUCGCUAGUGUCUUGUUUGUCAUCCAAUUCAACUUCAGAAAGAACGAGACAAGUACUGCACCUCAGCUACAACAGCCUUCCUCAUUACCUCAAGACAUGCUUGCUCCAACUUGGUAUGUAUCCAGAGGGCUCCGUAAUCUUCAAACAUGACCUGGUCAGGCAAUGGGUGGCUGAAGGGUUUCUUGCUGCAAGUGAAGGGCAGAAUAUGGAAGAAGUUGCAGGGAUGUAUUUCGAUGAACUAGUUGAUAGAAGAUUCAUCCAACCUGUGUCUAUCAACUUCAACAAUGAGGUGGUGUCCUGCACAGUUCAGAACAUGGUUCAUGAUCUUAUUGCACACAAGUCUGCAGAAGAGAAUUUUGUUGUGGUAGUAGAUCACGAUCGAAAGAUUUUGGCACUUUCUCAUAAGGUCCGUCGACUAUCUCUCCAACUUGGUGAUGCAAAAUAUGCCCAGAUACCAGCAAACAUCAUAAAGGCACAAGUACAGUCACUUGGAUAUUUUGGAGUAUCAGAGUGUAUGCCUUGUAUCGGAGAGUUCAAACUUGUUCGUGUUCUAAAUCUUCAGCUGUCCAGUCAUUGUCAUGGUGAGCAAGACCGGUUCAUAGACCUCACUAGAAUAUCAGAACUGUUCCAUCUCAGAUAUCUGAAGAUUGUUUGUGAUGUCUGCAUGAAACUUCCAAACCGUAUGAGAGGGCUGCAGUGUUUGGAAACACUAGAUGUUAUGGAUACACCAAGAGGCACUUAUGUUCCAUGGGACAUUAUAUAUCUCACACGCUUGUUGCACCUCAGCCUUCCUCCUCACACAAAUCUGCUGGAUUGGUCUGUUGGUGACGACCUAGGCCUUUGCAAACCGAACCACCUGCAGGAUCUUUGCAUUUCUACACCGCCUUCUUCAGAUUCCGACCAUCUGGAGAGAAGCAUGGAAGCACUCGAUUAUUUAAUGUACGAACAUAACAGCCUGAAAACAGUAAAACUGGUGGCUCAUGGAUCCUCGGUUAGUUACUGUGACGCUUCAAAAGCAAGAGUUGGGUGGAUUUUGGUUAAAAUUACCCACCAUGUCCAGAGAAUCGAGGUCUCACCGCACAGCCCCGUCAUAUUUUGUGAUAUGCAUUUGUGGGAAAUCGAACUUGGCAACCUAUGCAUUCUGAAGAUUGCAGUGGAUGGACUGUCAGUAAAUGAUGUUGAUAUUCUUAGAGGGUUGCCUGCCCUCACUGCUCUGUCAUUGUAUGUGGAGAAGUCACCUGGUAUUAAGAUAAUCUUUGGCACGGCUGCUGGAUUCACAGCUCUCAAGUACUUCAAGCUGAGGUUCAUGAGUGGAAUGGCCUGGCUAAAAUUUGAGGCGGACGCAAUGCCUAAUCUCUGGAAGCUCAGGCUCGUUUUCAACGCCAUCCCCCAAAUGGUGGACCAACGACUUGAUCUUUAUUCAAAGCGUGAUAAGUGGAAACAAUAUCGACAUGGUACUGCAUUAAUCAGAAUCGGCCAUAUGACAGGCCUUAGAGAGGUCUCUGCAAAAUUUAGGGGUGCAGCUGCUGAUCUAGAGUAUGUGUCGAGAGUCAGGAUAGUUAGCAAUCAUCCGGGCAAUCCUAUCAUCGACGUGCAAUUAGUGGAUUCUGGUUCCCAUGGUGCUAAAAGUAUAUCAUGGAGGUCACCGGACUCCUCUUCAUGCCUGCAUCCUCCAGGUGCAGAUGGUGAAGAGCAGCAGGAUGUGGUCUCGUGGAGCAAUACCAUUGAUGUGAUAGGUCGUGACCUCUUCAUCCAUUGCCUCCACCGCCUCUCCAGGUGGGAAUAUGGCGCCAUCGCCUCCCUCAACCGUGACUUCAAUUCAGUGGUUUGCAACGGGGACAUCUACCGCCUGCGUCGCAAGAACGGGGUAGCGGAGCACUGGAUAUACCUCUCUUUCGGUAGUAAUCCUCCGGAGUGGGAGGCUUAUGACCCGUCCACUGGGCGCUGGAUCCAAGUGCCCAAGAUGCCACCGGCUGGAAGCAUCGUCUGGGAGUCGCUUGCUGUAGGAACCGAGCUGCUGGUGUUUGGGGACCAGGGAAGGGUUGCCUUGAGAUAUAGCAUCCUUACCAAUUCAUGGACAUGGCUGGCUGAUGCGAUGAACACCCCACGGUACUUGUUUGGGUCAACAAGUGUCGGGGAGAAGGCGUAUGUCGCGGGAGGCGUUGAUUCUUCGCGUAGUUACUUGAGCUCCGCAGAGAUGUAUGACUCGGAGACACAUACUUGGACACCCCUUCCCAGCAUGAAUAAGGCUAGGUACGGAUGCUCUGGCGCGUUCAUGGAUGGCAAAUUCUAUGUGAUGGGUGGUAAUAGCAGUUGCCACGAGGUAUUGACAUGCGGUGAGGAGUAUGACUUGAACCGGCGGUCAUGGAGGGUCAUCCACAACAUGUCUCAGGGGCUCAACUGGACAGAUGAGGGAGCCCCUCUGUGCCUUGCAGUUCUCAACAAUGAGCUUUAUUGCACUGAUUACAGUGAGAAUAAUGAUUUGAAGCAGUAUGAUAAGCUGGACAACAAGUGGAUCACUCUUGGAAAAUUGCCUGUAGAGUCUAAGGACAAGGGCUGCGACAUGGGUUUCCAAGCGUGUGGUGACCGGCUGAUUGUUAUUGGGCCUCCAAUCAAUUCUACUGGUGAAAAGGUGGUUGAGCUUCAUUCAUGGACCCCGGAUGGGCAACCGCCUGUGUGGAGUUUGUUUGCCACACGGCCAUACGGGGGCUCAAAUAUUGUUUGCGUGGUGAUGGGUUGCUGA
rnacentral:rRNA from 1 species